AUGGCAAAUUGUAUACGUACAAAUAGAAUAGCUUUUAAGAAUUCAAAUAGCGUUGAAUUGGAUGAAAUUGAUACCAAGACUAAGAUGUGAAUAAUCAAUGCACUACAUGUAUACGUACAUGAUCAGCUCUUUCUUACAAGGAGGAAUAUCAACAGGCAGUAACGUGAAGUUCUAACUUACGGGUUUUGUUCUCCGCUUUCAUCUCGUUGUUUCGUUUAUCGUGUUAUUGGAUCCGGACUUUCUUCGAAGUGAAGUAAGGUGGAAGGAGAUUAUUUCUUGGCAUAUGAGGUUUAUCAUAUUAAUUAUGGAAGUUCUUGGAUGGGAGCUCUUGAACGACGUGAGGUACAGAUGCUCACGUUGGUAACCCGCCAGGUUAGGAGUCCUAUUCAGCUAUCUUGGAGAGCUCUCUUGUGGUGUAUAUGUAUUUUAUCCAGGGGUACGGCGGGGCCCUGUCCCGUCAUAUGAUACUGUUGUUACUCUUAGAGGUCUGUAGACAUAUGUGUGGGUUGUGUAUCGAUGUUGUUCAGUUGUGUCUAUAUAGCUUAUGUUUUGGGACGUUCCCAUUCGUAGUGGCAGCCUUGUCGGCUUGCGUAGAUAUAUAUAUAUAUAUAUAUAUAUAUAUAUAUAUAUAUGUGUGUGUUUUGAGAAGUAAUGUGUUAUGAUAGCCUUGUCGGCUCGUUUAUAGCGGGGAUGUUCCCUUAUAUAUUAUGAAAGCCUUGUCGGCUUAUGUACUAUAAUGUCUGUUGAAAGUUGUACCUCCCAAGGAGACGGGUUGUUGUGAUACGUCUAAAUAAUGCGACAGUUUUGAGACGA